UACGGAGGGUGCGAGCGUUAAUCGGAAUUACUGGGCGUAAAGGGUGUGUAGGUUGUUUAGUAAGCUAUCUGUGAAAUCUCUGGGCUUACCCUGGAGCGGUCAGAUAUAACUGCUAGACUUUGAGUACAGGAGAGGGUAGUGGAAUUUCCGGUGUAGCGGUGAAAUGCGUAGAUAUCGGGAGGAACACCGGUGGCGAAGGCGGCUACCUGGCCUGUAACUGACACUGAGGCACGAAAGCGUGGGGAGCAAACAGG
rnacentral:rRNA from 1 species